UAGGGAAUUUUCCACAAUGGGCGAAAGCCUGAUGGAGCAACGCCGCGUGCAGGAUGAAUGCCUUCGGGUUGUAAACUGCUUUUAUCUGUGACGAAUAUGACGGUAGCAGAUGAAUAAGGAUCGGCUAACUCCGUGCCAGCAGCCGCGGUCAUACGGAGGAUCCGAGCGUUAUCCGGAAUUACUGGGCGUAAAGAGUUGCGUAGGUGGCAGAGUGUGUCGGUAGUGAAAGCGUGUGGCUCAACCAUAUAUCCAUUAUUGAAACUGCUCAGCUAGAGGGCGAGAGAGGUACCUGGAAUUCCCAGUGUAGGAGUGAAAUCCGUAGAUAUUGGGAGGAACACCGAUGGCGUAGGCAGGGUACUGGCUCGUUUCUGACACUAAGGCACGAAAGCGUGGGGAGCAAACGGGAUUAGAUACCCCCGUAGUCC
rnacentral:rRNA from 1 species